GCGCCAAUGUCUGUUUUCCGUUUAUUUUUUAAAAGGUUGCGCGUUUUUUUUUCAGGAACCAAUGGAUUCAGAUACAGAAAGUAACAUGGUAGACAUGUACAUAUUUAAAGCAAGUGGAAACCUUUAAAGUAAGUAAAAUAUGUUAUAUAUCUUUAUUUCUUUUUUAAAUAGUUGGAAUGUUUGGACAAAAGGUUAUAUAAUUUCAUAAUACUUUAAGUUAUUACCUUGGCGUGUAGAAAUGUACAUAAAUUCUAGAUACAAUCAAUUAUGUCUUAAAGACAACAUCUCAACACAAACAGGCUCUAUAAAGACCGUCGUUUUUUUGUUGUUUUUUUUUUUUUUUUUUUUUUUUUUUUUUGCUGACAAAAUGUAUUUUACCUGUCAAAAAAAGAAUUCUCAUGAGUGAAAUUUACAUUUCUUUUUAGAUUAUUAUAUGUUAGUAGAAGUGCACCAUAUGAUGUAAGACCUUUUCUUUUGAUAAUACAAAGAAAAUUCUAUAGCACAACUGACAUACUUAAUACUUGUUUAGCAAUGCACGUAAAUUUAACGAAAACGUCAGUAUUUAAAAUAUCGGUAUGUUUAAAUAUGCACUCCUCAGAAGAGCUGAUUUUCAUACGUGUGUAUUUUUAUAUUGUUUUUAGAGAACGAACAACUAAACUAAGAAUUAUGUGCACAUCACAGGAUAUUGACGUCAAUGGAAACAAAAUGUUUGUACUAGUUGAUCGCAGGAAUAUUGAUGAAAAAGUUAAAAGACAUUCAGUGAUAGGGAUGAAGUGGAGGCCUUAUCAAUAAACAAAGAGUCCCCAGUUCAGGAAAUGGUACAGCGCUGAGAGUAUUUUUAAAGUUAAGAAAGGUGAAAUGUAUAAAGUGAGAUUUCAUGAAGAUGGUUCCUAGUAAGUCCGGAAUAUGGCUCGUAUUCGAAGAAAAAAAUGUGAUUGUUUGUAAAAGCAGUUUAUAUAGUUUGAGCUUUUAAUCAAAAUGUUGUUCUUUCUUUAUAUUCAACGGAUGUGUUUUUGUAGUGCAAGUUAGCAUAACCUUAAAAAGAGAUGCAGGCAAACCUGUGUUAAAGACCACCUCUGAACAGAGGCCACCUGACUCUAAAGACCACAUGUUUUGUUUCCAGUUUUAACAUUUAUUUAGCCUGUGACUACC